GCCCAUAUCUCAUUUAAACACCUGUUCUCGUAUGUUCACCGAAGUUAAGCAACAUCGAACCUGGUCAGUACUUUGAUGGGUGACCGCUUAGGAACACUAGGUGCUGUAAG
rnacentral:rRNA from 1 species